rnacentral:rRNA from 2 species
AAAACAACUCUCAGCAACGGAUAUCUUGGCUCUUGCAACGAUGAAGAACGCAGCGAAAUGCGAUACGUAGU